AGAGUUUGAUCCUGGCUCAGGACGAACGCUGGCGGUGUGCUUAACACAUGCAAGUCGAACGGUAAGGCCCUUUCGGGGGUACACGAGUGGCGAACGGGUGAGUAACACGUGAGUAACCUGCCCUCAUCUCUGGGAUAACAGUCGGAAACGGUUGCUAAUACUGGAUAUGAGCUUGCAAGGCAUCUUGUGGGUUGGAAAGAUUUUUUUUGGUUGGGGAUGGACUCGCGGCCUAUCAGCUUGUUGGUGAGGUAGUGGCUCACCAAGGCUUCGACGGGUAGCCGGCCUGAGAGGGCGACCGGCCACAUUGGGACUGAGAUACGGCCCAAACUCCUACGGGAGGCAGCAGUGGGGAAUAUUGCACAAUGGACGGAAGUCUGAUGCAGCAACGCCGCGUGCGGGAUGACGGCCUUCGGGUUGUAAACCGCUUUCAAUUGUGACGAAGCUUUUUUGUGACGGUAGCAGUAGAAGAAGCACCGGCUAACUACGUGCCAGCAGCCGCGGUGAUACGUAGGGUGCGAGCGUUGUCCGGAUUUAUUGGGCGUAAAGAGCUUGUAGGCGGUUUGUCGCGUCGGGAGUGAAAACUUGGGGCUUAACCCUGAGCUUGCUUUCGAUACGGGCUGACUUGAGGGAGGUAGGGGAGAAUGGAAUUCCUGGUGGAGCGGUGGAAUGCGCAGAUAUCAGGAGGAACACCGGUGGCGAAGGCGGUUCUCUGGACCUUUCCUGACGCUGAGAAGCGAAAGCGUGGGGAGCGAACAGGCUUAGAUACCCUGGUAGUCCACGCCGUAAACGGUGGGUACUAGGUGUGGGGGACAUUCCACGUUCUCCGUGCCGUAGCUAACGCAUUAAGUACCCCGCCUGGGGAGUACGGCCGCAAGGCUAAAACUCAAAGGAAUUGACGGGGCCCCGCACAAGCGGCGGAGCAUGCGGAUUAAUUCGAUGCAACGCGAAGAACCUUACCUGGGUUUGACAUAUGCCGGAAGCGUUCAGAGAUGGGCGUGCCUUUUUGGUCGGUUUACAGGUGGUGCAUGGCUGUCGUCAGCUCGUGUCGUGAGAUGUUGGGUUAAGUCCCGCAACG
rnacentral:rRNA from 1 species